rnacentral:lncRNA from 1 species
CGUUUGAGACUCCAAUUGAUUCUUGGAUAGCAUCGGCUUUGGAUCGCCAUGCCGGUGUGAGGAUUCUAAGAACUUUUCGAACAAGUUCUCUAUCCGUGAAUGUCUUCUUGAGGACGUGUAGAUCAUUUACUAUUGUUGAGAAGCGCUCAAACAUCUCAUCUACUUUUUCUCCUUCCUUCAUAUGAAACAAUUCGUAAGCAUGAGUAAGAAAAUCAACUUUUGCUUCUCUNNNN